UGAGACGGCCAGAGUGGUGAGGUAACACCCGUACCCAUCCCGAACACGGAAGUUAAGCUCACCUACGUGUGAGCGAGUACUGGCGUGGGCGACCCGCUGGGAAAGUUGACUCGCCGUCUCUU
rfam:Halolamina pelagica strain CDK2 SY89_scf01, whole genome shotgun sequence.